rfam:Camelus ferus unplaced genomic scaffold scaffold495, whole genome shotgun sequence.
GCGGGUAUAGCUCAGUGGUAGAGUGCAUGCUUAACAUGCACGAGGUCCCGGGUUCAAUCCUCAGUACCUCCU